CUGAAUAUCAGCUCCUUCAAAUCCAAUUUGCAGAAUCCUUUGCAACAGCUACCCAAGAUGAACUAGUGGAGAAUAGAUCCAGUUCUGCACGUCAUAAAUCCACAUCAGAAUCAUCAAAAUGACUAAAAAGGAAGAAAGUUGUACAGAGGAGCUAACUGUUUUCACAGAACCACUGGAUGAGCAAAAGCUGGAUAUUUUGGUUUGUGAAAGUAAGAGCUCAUGUAUAUGCAUUGCAUUACCUUUCCAAUAAAUUGAAUAACAACACGUGAUGGAAUGAAACUAAAGAGUGAAACAACAAGAGAUCUGAUUUUGGAAAAGCAUGAUCUGAUUUUGGUUGGUCACAGAGUGAAAAGGAAAAAAUGCAGCACCCCUCAGAACAUGGAUAGGUACUAAGCUUUGACCAUUGACCAUUUUCCCUUUGCUUUAUUUUUUGUUCUUAUUCUUUACAAAAAUUCCCUGAUCUACAUAUUUUAACCGUUUUACUUUGAUAUUUUAACCUUUUCACUAUAAAAAAUUUAAAUGAAAAUAGCAACAAAAGAUUAAGGAGGGGAGAACAGAUGGACCAAGAGUUGACCCUCUCCUUGCUCUGGAUCUACACAUAUGGCUGUAAUGGAAACAAACACAGGUGGCACAAGUUGAAGAAGAGCACCUUCAACACUACACAGCAACUCUGCACCUCCAGUUAGCAAAUCCCUCUGCUGAGCGAGAGUGUUCAAUAGAUCCAACUCUACACAUCACGGAUCCAAAUCAGAACAGGAAAAGAAGAGAGCUGUGCACUAACUAGAUCGAGAGCUCAACUGAAUGUAUUGAACAGCAGAGGAGGAAGAGUACCUUUGGCGCCGUCGCCGUCGCCGAUUGGGAGGAGACCACCGCUAAAAGUCGCCGCAGAGAGCCAGAGACGAACGAAAGAAGCACCGAGUAGGAGUGGUGUUGUGGAUCUGGAGUGAUCUGUGGCUGUGCUCAUCUCAUUCACUCAGC
rnacentral:lncRNA from 1 species